UACGUAGGCGGAAUAUUAAGUCAGUGGUGAAAUCCUGCAGCUUAACUGUAGAAUUGCCAUUGAUACUGAUCUUCUUGAAUUUAGUUGAGGUGGGCGGAAUGUGUAAUGUAGCGGUGAAAUGCUUGGAUAUUACACAGAACACCGAUUGCGAAGGCAGCUCACUAAACUAACAUUGACGCUAAGGUACGAAAGCGUGGGGAGCGAACAGGAUUAGAUACCCUGGUAGUCC
rnacentral:rRNA from 1 species